rnacentral:rRNA from 1 species
UUAGAGUAAUCGAAGCAGUGAACUUAAGCCCCAGUAAACGGCGGCCGUAACAAUAACGGUCCUAAGGUAGCGAAAUUCCUUGUCGGGUAAGUUCCAACCCGAACGAAAGGCGUAACGAUUUGGGCCCGGUCUCAACAACAGACUCGGUGAAAUUGUACUUCCGGUGAAGAUGCCGGAUACCUGCUACAGGUAGGACAGAUCCCAUGGAGCUUUAUUUUAGCUUGACAUCGUGUAUUGGUACUACAUGUACAGGGUAGGUGGGACGCUUUGAAACCAGGACGCCAGUUUUGGCGGAGCCAUCCUUGGGAUACCACCCUUGUAGUACUGGGACUCUAACCAUAGGCCAUGAAUCUGGUCU